GAUGAACGCUGGCGGCGUGCCUAAUACAUGCAAGUCGAGCGAACAGACGAGGAGCUUGCUCCUCUGACGUUAGCGGCGGACGGGUGAGUAACACGUGGAUAACCUACCUAUAAGACUGGGAUAACUUCGGGAAACCGGAGCUAAUACCGGAUAAUAUAUUGAACCGCAUGGUUCAAUAGUGAAAGACGGUUUUGCUGUCACUUAUAGAUGGAUCCGCGCCGCAUUAGCUAGUUGGUAAGGUAACGGCUUACCAAGGCAACGAUGCGUAGCCGACCUGAGAGGGUGAUCGGCCACACUGGAACUGAGACACGGUCCAGACUCCUACGGGAGGCAGCAGUAGGGAAUCUUCCGCAAUGGGCGAGAGCCUGACGGAGCAACGCCGCGUGAGUGAUGAAGGUCUUCGGAUCGUAAAACUCUGCUAUUAGGGAAGAACAAAUGUGUAAGUAACUAUGCACGUCUUGACGGUACCUAGUCAGAAAGCCACGGCUAACUACGUG
rnacentral:rRNA from 1 species